rnacentral:rRNA from 1 species
AGUGAACGCUGGCGGCGUGCCUAAUACAUGCAAGUCGAACGGAGUGGCGCACGGGUGGGUAAUAUAUAGUUAAUCAGCCCUACACAGGGGAACAACAGUUGGAAACGACUGCUACUACCUCAUAUUGUAGGAUGAGACUAUAUCGUAUCAGCUAGUUGGUAAUGUAAUGGCUUACCAAGGCUAUGACGCGUAACUGGUCUGAGAGGAUGAUCAGUCACAUUCGAACUGAGACACGGUCCAAACUCCUUCGGGAGGCAGCAGUAAGGAAUAGUGCGCAAUGGGCGAAACUCUGACGCAGCAUCGCCGCGUGGAGGAUGACACUUGUCGGAGCGUAAAUUCCUUUUAUUAGCAAAGCGGUACCUGAGGAAUAAGCACCGGCUAACUCCGUGCCAGCAGCCGCGGUAAUUC